AUUGAACGCUGGCGGCAGGCCUAACACAUGCGGGUCGAGCGGAUGAAGGGAGCUUGCUCCUGGAUUCAGCGGCGGACGGGUGAGUAAUGCCUAGGAAUCUGCCUGGUAGUGGGGGAUAACGUCCGGAAACGGGCGCUAAUACCGUAUACGUCCUGAGGGAGAAAGUGGGGGAUCUUCGGACCUCACGCUAUCAGAUGAGCCUAGGUCGGAUUAGCUAGUUGGUGGGGUAAAGGCCUACCAAGGCGACGAUCCGUAACUGGUCUGAGAGGAUGAUCAGUCACACUGGAACUGAGACACGGUCCAGACUCCUACGGGAGGCAGCAGUGGGGAAUAUUGGACAAUGGGCGAAAGCCUGAUCCAGCCAUGCCGCGUGUGUGAAGAAGGUCUUCGGAUUGUAAAGCACUUUAAGUUGGGAGGAAGGGCAGUAAGUUAAUACCUUGCUGUUUUGACGUUACCAACAGAAUAAGCACCGGCUAACUUCGUG
rnacentral:rRNA from 1 species